rnacentral:lncRNA from 1 species
AUAGUCAUAAAGUUCAAACCAUUCAACUGAGACAGUUUAUAAAUCCUUCUCGACUACCUUGGAGCCUUUGGUAUAGGAACUAGGUUGUUAUAUUUGUUGAUUACUUUCUUAUCUCUCAAAGAACCCAUCCUUUGAGUUCUAUCUCUCGUUCAUUAGCUCUUAGGCAAAUCACAUUGUAGGAUUACAAUGAACUACCCAACAAAACAACAUUUGUUAGUUGGUUUAUAGAAGCGAUAUCCAAAAGUUAAUUUAAGGAUAUCCCACAAGAUUGUUAUCAAACAAAUAUUGCUAAUUAGCACACAACCCCAAAUCUUAACAUGCUUAAGAUUUGUCUUUCUUUCCAACUACAUCUUAUGGAGUCAUGAAAAUUUUGGAAAGAUCUUCUAAUUUACAAUCAUAUUGUUUUAGAAGUAUAUAUCCUAUAUAUGGGUAAUAGAUAACAUCUAACGAACUAAAUCUUAUUCAAGUUCGUUCUUCUCCUAAUGGAGAAAUUCAUUAUCUUAUGAUGCUUCUUUCCUUGAUAUCUUUCAAGGAAACUCAUCUAAAGUGUUACUUUUCCUUGGAUCAAAUCUAAGGAGGUAAAUACUUUAGACGUCUUACUCAUUAACUUACAUUUCUUGAAUUCUUUGAAACCUUUUGCAAAGUAUUCGGACUUGUGUUUAUUCAAAAUAAACUAUAGUCCAACCGAGAGUGAUCUUCGGUGAACGUCAUACAACAUGAGUAGUAUUAUGUUGUGGACAAGUGCCACUAAUCAUCUAAGUGAAUUAACCUCAACAACUUUGUGAUUCUUUCUUCUUUCCAAAAGAAUAAAGAUUCGAACAUUUCGCCUCUAUACAAUUUUAAUAAGAAGGUAUUGGAUCCGGAUCUAACAAUCCAAAGUAUCCAUUUUUCACCAACUCAUACUUAUGUUUUAGAGGUAUCACAACUCAGUUGGGAUUAGUCACUACCUUGCAACCUUUUGGGUUUUAAGCAUCAUUAUAUUCUAAACAAUUAACACUACCAUAUCAUCUCUACUAUAGAGACAAUCAAUUAGAUUACUAUAAUCCAAUCAUUGAUUAAUAAAGAACAAUGUUUUGUCAAACAAAGCAUUCAUCCAUCUCUACUAUAGUGACGGAAUUAAGUUCCUUAAAAUUGGAAUGUAAAGACUAUCUUUGGUUUUUCCAAUUUCUUUGGUAGUUCAUAUGAGGAAGUAAGUACUAUCUGCUUUCGCAGAGAUCUAUAUUUUAUUCACGUUCCGAAUGUGAAGCACCUUUUCUUCUCUCAUAUAUCUUCUACUUCUUAUUAGUCACACUUUUACAACGAUUGUAAAAUAUAGUUACUAAUACGGAAUCAAGCAUUCAAGUAGAAGAACCAACUGUUUUGAACUAUUCAAGAACAAUUUACAACACCUUCGAAAGGUGUGUUCUUGACACUUGCAAGACAUUUCUUGCAAAUACCCCUUCCAAUGUCCACCUUUUAUAAAGAAAGUUUGUUAUCUUGGAGUUAAUUUUUAUCUUCUUCAUUUGACUUUCACCUUUGACUACAAUAGUCAUGGUCCUUAAACUCCCACUAUCUCUCUUGAAACUUAUUUCAAUUGUGUUAUACACAUCAAACAUUUUGGAGAGCAUGUGGUUAUUGUUCACUACAUAGUUUACAAUAAACUUAGUGAACCAUUAGGAUAAGGAAACAAAGGUGAAGUCCUUGCCUAGUUUCCGUCUCAUUAAGUGGUUUUACACUUCAACACUCAAUGAUUCAAAAUCAUCAUAAGUCCAUGUUGAUGGACUAUUUUUGUCAACCAACCAUUAUGUUCUAAACAUAAUUACAAACUUUCAAGAGUUGUUCAAGGCAACUCUCAUUUCUUCAUACAACAAUUUGUAAGUGAAGAAUCAUGGCACAUAAAGUGUCCAUGCCCUUGUGCUUACUUCUAAAGUUCCUUGUUCAUGUAACAAAGAAACAAGCACUAAUGUUUGCAUUGAUUAAGGGUUGUUCAAAGCAACUCUUAUUUCUUCAUACAACAAUUUGUAAUUGAAGAAUUAUGACAUUAAAAAUGUUGUCCUCUUUAUGAUAGACAUUUUCUAACAUAUUCUUCUAUUGAUACAUUAUCAAUAGGAAGAUUGUGAGGAUGAGACUACUUAGGUACAUUUACAAGCCAUUAAAGACAAUCUAUGGUUUUGUAGUACCAAGUCCGGAAACUAAAGCUUUCGGUUUUUAUUUGUCAAGUGUUGGAUAGCGUUUGCAAAUAUAUUGGUAAACAAAUACAUAACGAAUAUAAAUU